GGAGAGGAGGGAUGUGUUGCAGCAGAGUGGAUCGCUUACUCAAGACUUGCAGGAGUUGGUGACUGGGUGUUACCUGGGCGUUACCGGCACCACUUAUACCAAUGGCAAGACACUGCUGGGAAUCUUAGCAACCAUCAAGACUCACCACCCACAAGCACCAGCAUUAUCUCCAAUACCAAGAUACAUCCAUGUGUGAAAGGUUGUCAUCACAGGAGGAGGAAUCAUCAACAGAAGAGGUGCCGCCCACAGAACCCUGGAGGCGGAUCAACUGUGUCCCAUCUGUCCUUACUUCCUGCCCACGUCCGUCGAGGUCACCACA